rnacentral:misc_RNA from 1 species
GCAAACUUGGUCAUUUAGAGGAAGUAAAAGUCGUAACAAGGUUUCCGUAGGUGAACCUGCGGAAGGAUCAUUAACGGGUUUUGAAAGUGGAGCCUGGUGCUGGUGCAGAAAUGCGCAUGUGCACGGUUUCGCGCUCAAUCUACUCAACCUCUGUGCACGUUUGCAAAGCGAGUAGUUCUGUUGCUCCUCCUUUGAAGUCUUUGUUUAGCUGGUAGGGCGAGCGUGCGCGAGCACUAGUAGUCCGACUGUGAAAGGACUUCACCAUUUGAGGUGUUGAGUAGCGAGUAGGGUGAACGCGCGCGAACGCGUGCCAGUAGCCUGAAAGUGAAAGGGACUUCGAUUUGGGGAGGUUUGGGCGAAAGCUUUGAUUUUUAUGAACCGUUUGUAUGUUUUUGUUAAUGGUGUUGCUCGUUGUGGGCAAAGCGAAUACAACUUUUAACGACGGAUCUCUUGGCUCUCGCAUCGAUGAAGAACGCAGC